ensembl:lncRNA
AACCUGGGGAGGGCGUGGGCAGAGGCCGCUCACUCCUGGAGCCCGGGCUGGGAUGGAUACUUCGGUUCCAUUGCAGCCCCAGGGGAGGCAAAAUGCGUGGUCCUCUCCUGCUAUACCAUCUCCCACGGCUCCCUAGGACCCACUGUAACAUCUGCCCACUCUUCAGCCUGGAGUCUGAGGCCUUCCAGGAUCACUGAGCAAAGCUGGCCGCCAUAUCGUGAGGAUACUCAGGCAACCAUGGAGAGACCCACAUGAGAAGCCCUGCCAAAAGCCUGCACGAAUUUGCCGGUCAUGUGAUUGAGUCAUCUUGGGAGGAGAUCCUCCAGCCCCAGUCAAGCCUUCAGGUCAAUGUAGCCCAAUCGGAC